rnacentral:rRNA from 1 species
UGAAUACGAGACGCUAAGGCGUUGAAGUAGUGUAUGUCAUACUUCCAAGAAAAGCUUGCACUGUCAUAGAUAAAAAACGCCUGUACCAUAACCGACACAGGUGGGUAGGUAGAGUAUACUAAGGGGCGCGAGAUAACUCUCUCUAAGGAACUCGGCAAAAUAACUCCGUAACUUCGGGAGAAGGAGUGCCUUAUUUAUAAGGCUGCGAUAACAAGAUCCAAGCAACUGUUUAUCAAAAACACAGGUCUCCGCUAAGUCGUAAGACGAUGUAUGGGGGCUGACGCCUGCCCAGUGCCAGAAGGUUAAAGAAGUUGGUUAGCAAUAGCGAAGCUGAUAACUGAAGCCCUGGUGAACGGCGGCCGUAACGAUAACGGUCCUAAGGUAGCGAAAUUCCUUGUCGGGUAAGUUCCGACCCGCACGAAAGGCGUAAUGAUUUGGAUACUGUCUCGGAGAGGGGCUCGGUGAAAUAGACUUGUCUGUGAAGAUGCGGACUACCUGCACCAGGACAGAGAGACCCUAUGAAGCUUUACUGCAACUUGAAAUUGAAAUUGGACUUUAUUCGCGCAGUAUAGGUGGGAGGCGUUGAUUGUAAUCUUGCGGGAUUAUUGGAGCCAUCAGUGAGAUACCACCCUUGUAAUGUUAGAUUUCUAACUUUGAAUCAUUAUCUGGUCAAAGAACAGUUUCAGGCGGGCAGUUUGACUGGGGCGGUCGCCUCCUAAACGGUAACGGAGGCGUACAAAGGUUUCCUCUGAACGGUUAGAAAUCGUAUCUAGAGUGUAAAGGCAUAAGGAAGCUUGACUGUGAGACCUACAAGUCGAGCAGGGACGAAAGUCGGUCUUAGUGAUCUGACGGUACUGAGUGGAAAGGCCGUCACUCAACGGAUAAAAGUUACUCUAGGAUAACAGGCUGAUCUCCCCCAAGAGUUCACAUCGACGGGGAGGUUUGGCACCUUGAUGUCGGCUCAUCGCAUCCUGGGGCGGUAGUACGUCCCAAGGGUUGGGCUGUUCGCCCAUGAAAGCGGUACGCGAGCUGGGUUCAGAACGUCGUGAGACAGUUCGGUCCAUAUCCGGUGUAGGCGUUAGAAUAUUGAGAGGAGCCUUCUUUAGUACGAGAGGACCGAGAAGGACAUACCUCUGGUGUACCAGUUAUCGUGCCAACGGUAAACGCUGGGUAGCUAUGUAUGGAGUGGAUAACCGCUGAAAGCAUCUAAGUGGGAAGCCCACCUCAAGAUAAGUAUUCUC